CUAUGUCGAGCGGUCCAAUGACAGCGCGGGGAGGCGUGAUGAGCGUGCGCGCUGCCCAAUGGCGGGGCGGGACGCUGCGCGGAGCUGCGUGCGGCCUGCGGGGCCCGGCCGGGACGGGACGGGUCGGGCUGCGACGGGCCCUGCCCCUGCGGUUGUUGCUGACCACAGGAAGACUUCCUCUCAAAGCUGUUUAAAUGAGAAUGUCCCUGGCGCAAAGAGUACUACUGACAUGGCUUUUUACGUUGCUCUUCCUGAUCAUGCUGGUGCUGAAGUUGGAUGAGAAAGCACCGUGGAACUGGUUCCUCAUUUUCAUUCCAGUCUGGAUAUUUGAUACUAUCCUCCUGGUUAUGUUAAUUGUAAAAAUGGCCGGCCGCUGCAAGUCUGGCUUUGACCCUCGCAACGGCUCGCAGAACAUCAAGAAAAAAGCCUGGUACCUCAUCGCAAUGCUGCUCAAGUUAGCCUUCUGCCUUGCCCUCUGCGCUAAACUGCAGCAAUUCACCACGAUGAAACUAGCCUAUGUAUUUAUCCCCUUGUGGGCCUUGCUUAUUGGGGGUAUGGUCGAACUUGGAUAUAAUAUCUUCUAUGUACGAAGAGACUAAGCUGUAUGGGGUGUUCAGCCCUGAGACUGGUACCGAACUGCUGGAUUAUUAGCUCUGCCACAAAUGUGAUCUCUAGAACAGCACAUAAGGAAAUGCUCUGGAGACUUCAUCUAAACGAGGCUGGAGACCAAAAGUGGAUCUCAAAAGGAACCGCAGCUGUUCCAGCCCAGAGCAGGCAGCAUGUAGCACUUCCUUACACGGAUUACCCUCAGUUUUCUUAUUUAUGCUGUCAUCAAGAAAUAACCAGACAGACAUAAAAACAUAGGAAGCAGCUGUCAGAGACCACUGAAGCGACUUUGAGGAAAGCCUGUUCCAGACUAAGGUAUGGCACCAGCAUUUAGGAAAGCAUUUCUGGAGUUGUGCACAUCGUGUCAUGAGCUGGAACACCACUGCAGCACAGGCAAUAAGCUUUCAGCAGAUUUCUCCAAUCUGCAGAAGAACAAGGGCCAAAAGAGGUAAGUGAACCACUGGAGAUUUCAGCCGAAGUACCAGCUAACGGGAAGAUUUAUACACAGCUGAAAUCCAGGAGGGGGAAAAAGCAACAAGCAAAGACUAGUUUCAGUACAUCAGAAGGCAUGAAAGAUUUAUUGCUGAAGCCCAAGUCUGAAUAUAAAGCUGUGUGCAGCAGGGAGGGAGGUUAUCGCACGGGAGCACUUGAGAGCAAAGACUUUUGGCAGACUAAUGAACAAUUUGUGAGCUGAACAUCUCUGAAGAGGUGCUCCCUCCUAAAGAGGGACCGCCUCAAAAUGAAUACACCAUGGGUAGAGGACAAAAAUUGUGUUGUUUUUUUAAAGCAAACCAAGAAGCACAUGCUCAUAUUGCCAGUCAGCCCAGACUAUCUGCAGCCUGGAAUACAAAGGGAGUUUUGACAGCCAUUGGUGAUGUUGGAAUUAUUCAUAUCCUGUCUACAAGGAAUUGUGUCUAGAAACCAGAAUCUAGUUUGUCUCAAAAAUAAAGCAUAAAAAUUGUAAGAGCUGCUCCUUGUCUCUCUUAAAAUUCUGAAAGUGAUGCAAAAAAAAGAAAAAAAGAAAAAAAUGGUUGAAGAUGCAAUGCAGGCAGCUGAAGCAAGUUUUCAGAACCAAGACAUACCUGGGCAGAAGUUCAAGGCUGUCUCAGCCAAGACCACUGAGCAGGUUGUCAAAUGGAAAUUAAAUUUUAUGUGAAAAGUCAUAUUUGCUAAGCCAUUUUCAAAGGCAUUUCUUCAGUCUAGACAGCACCUAUGAUGCAGAAAGUGGUCUGCCAUCAAGUGGGAUGUAUACAUUUUACUAAAACCUGAAAAAAAUACUUGGACCAGAAUGAAUAAUGAGCAGAUGGAUCACCAGCAUACUUUUUUCCCCCUCUAAGUCCAUUUGUGUGUAAAAGCUUAAAAAAAAAAUCAGGAUCUAUGAAGGCUGGUUUUCAAAAAGCUGCAGCUUCCUACUAACAGAUUGAAAAAGCUGCACACUUGCUGAGAAUGACUGCCUGCAGCUCUUCCCUGCUCUCACCAGCAGGCACAACAAAAGGGAACAGAAGGCUACAUAACCAUACGUGUGCUCACAAAGCCAAGGGGAUUGUGGUGGCAAUUCCCUGAUAGUCCAGGGAACACGGUGGGAGCUGAGACCACGUUUCUAUCAGGAAGGCUCAAACCCUUCCAUGAAACAAUUAGUUUUUCACAUCUGCACAGGUUGGAGCAGGAACUUACCAUGUCACACAUGAACCAUUUUGCUUGCUCAUGGAGCGAGGGGAAAGCAAGAUCCCUGAGGCUGCAGAACUGGCAGUAACCUCUUCACCAGCAUUACUGACAAUAGCAGUAGGAUUUAGCCACAUUCAAGAGAUUUGUUUCUAUUGCUUCUCUAAUACAUAAUUAUGGCUAUGUAGGAGUCAUGUUUAGCAAUUCAAAAGUUGAUUUAAUUAAUAAUUCCUCAACAGACCUAUCUUCCAUUUAAACACA